rnacentral:rRNA from 1 species
AUGGGCUCUAGAGAGCCUCUUGGUACACCUUACCCUGAUUAUCUAGACACCCAGGUGUCAGAGACCAUCAUCCUCCAUGGCCUUGACAAGUUUGUUGAUCACACUCUUGCUGCUGAGAGAAAGAGGAAGAGGGAUGCCUUGAUGGAUGAGGAGUUGAGCAUCUUUAGCAGCAUGACUGAGACCGUCAAGGAGGUGGCAUCUACCAUUAGGGAGAGCAAGCCUGUCAACGUGCACUCGUCCCUCUAUGGCACUGUCAUGCACACCAUUGGGUUCAAUGAGGCUUUGAUGCUCGCUCUUAGCCACCGCCUAGAAAACAUGGCACCAAGUCUUGGGUUUGUUAGGAUGUAA